CAAUGGUAUCGAGAACAACGUCUUGUGGUUUGGAUCAUUUUCCAUUUCGCAUGCAGUCCUCAAAGAUUAUAUAAGGCAUUUUUUGGUUUCAAGCCUGCCCAUGUAUAAAUAUUACGUGACGUACGUCCAAAGACAAGUUAUGUCAGGAAAUUUGAAUUUUUCUGGCAUUAUAACUUACACCAAGUUUCGUCUGGCAGUUACUGCAAUGAUUAGAUUACUUGACAUUGACUUUGUUGACGCUUUUCAUUGUAACAUCUGUGGAAAACAUCCGAAAAAAGUUGUUAUGGACGGUACGGCACUUGGUAUCCAAAAAACCUUCUUGCCUCGUAAGGUAGCUCCCC